rnacentral:rRNA from 1 species
UGGGGAAUAUUGCACAAUGGGCGCAAGCCUGAUGCAGCCAUGCCGCGUGUGUGAAGAAGGCCUUCGGGUUGUAAAGCACUUUCAGCGGGGAGGAAGGCGAUAUGGUUAAUAACCUUGUCGAUUGACGUUACCCGCAGAAGAAGCACCGGCUAACUCCGUGCCAGCAGCCGCGGUAAUACGGAGGGUGCAAGCGUUAAUCGGAAUUACUGGGCGUAAAGCGCACGCAGGCGGUCUGUCAAGUCGGAUGUGAAAUCCCCGGGCUCAACCUGGGAACUGCAUUCGAAACUGGCAGGCUAGAGUCUUGUAGAGGGGGGUAGAAUUCCAGGUGUAGCGGUGAAAUGCGUAGAGAUCUGGAGGAAUACCGGUGGCGAAGGCGGCCCCCUGGACAAAGACUGACGCUCAGGUGCGAAAGCGUGGGGAUCAAACAGGAUUAGAUACCCUGGUAGUCCACGCCGUAAACGAUGAGUGCUAAGUGUUAGGGGGUUUCCGCCCCUUAGUGCUGCAGCUAACGCAUUAAGCACUCCGCCUGGGGAGUACGACCGCAAGGUUG